UUUUCUCAUCCUCCCAAUCCAUGUUUGCACAAUAAAUAUUUUCAUAAACAAUAUCUUUUGCAACAGUUUGUGAAAAGGGUUCCCUAGGAGUACCUAGGAUGCAUUGGGUGCCUAACACCUUCCCUUUGCAUAAUUACCCCCUUACCCAGAUCUCUGACCUUUCAUUAGUUUUCUAUGUGUAAAACUUCUUAGGCUUUUGU
rnacentral:lncRNA from 1 species